UACGGAGGGUGCGAGCGUUGUCCGGAAUCAUUGGGCGUAAAGGGCGCGUAGGUGGCCCGGUCAGUCUUUGGUGAAAGCGCGGGGCUCAACCCUGCGUCGGCCAGGGAUACUGCCGCGGCUGGAGCACUGUAGAGGCAGGCGGAAUUCCGGGUGUAGCGGUGGAAUGCGUAGAGAUCCGGAAGAACACCGGUGGCGAGGGCGGCCUGCUGGGCAGUUGCUGACACUGAGGCGCGACAGCGUGGGGAGCAAACAGG
rnacentral:rRNA from 1 species